rnacentral:rRNA from 1 species
CAUUAUGCCUAGCCCUAAAUAUUGAUAGAAAGUUACACCCACUAUCCGCCCGGGUACUACGAGCAUCAGCUUAAAACCCAAAGGACUUGGCGGUGCUUUAGAUCCACCUAGAGGAGCCUGUUCUAGAACCGAUAACCCCCGUUCAACCUCACCCUUCCUUGUUUUUCCCGCCUAUAUACCACCGUCGUCAGCUUACCCUGUGAAGGCUCUACAGUAAGCAAAAUUGGCACGCCCUAAAACGUCAGGUCGAGGUGUAGCGCAUGAAAGGGGAAGAAAUGGGCUACAUUCACUAUACCAGUGAAUACGGACGGUGCAUUGAAAAAUGCACUUGAAGGAGGAUUUAGCAGUAAGCAGGAAGCAGAGUGUCCUACUGAAAAUGGCCCUGAAGCGCGCACACACCGCCCGUCACUCUCCCCAAGCCCUCUCAAACCCUAACUAACUAAAACCAAUAUUCGCGAUAGGGGAGGCAAGUCGUAA